UACGUUACUUGGUCUCUCUGGCAUGACCUGCCUCCGAUGAUUUAUUACUUUCCGCUGCAAACACUGGAACUCACCGGGCUGGAAGUUUUUGGCGUAGCUUUUCUCUCUCCGCUAUUUCUCAUAACUACUCCUGUCUGGAAGCUGGUGCACAAGAGGUGGAUGCUAGCCCUGCUGCGGAUCCUUGCUGUUGGCAGCAUAACCUCCUUCCAGGCUCCGAAUGCCGAACUCCGGCUGGUGAUCCUUGCGCUUGGUGUGUCCUCCUCACUGAUUGUACAAGCCGUGACAUGGUGGACAGGAAGUGGUUUGCAAAGGUACCUCAGAAUCUGGGGAUUCGUGUUGGGACAGAUUCUUCUUGUUGUCCUCCGCAUCUGGUACACUUCACUAAACCCCAUCUGGAGCUAU